rnacentral:rRNA from 1 species
UACGGAGGGUGCAAGCGUUAUCCGGAUUCACUGGGUUUAAAGGGUGCGUAGGCGGGUUGGUAAGUCCGUGGUGAAAUCUCCAAGCUUAACUUGGAAACUGCCGUGGAUACUAUCAAUCUUGAAUGUCGUGGAGGUAAGCGGAAUAUGUCAUGUAGCGGUGAAAUGCUUAGAGAUGACAUAGAACACCAAUUGCGUAGGCAGCUUACUACACGAAUAUUGACGCUGAGGCACGAAAGCGUGGGAGCAAACAGGG